rnacentral:tRNA from 1 species
GGGGCGUUAGCUCAGUUGGUAGAGCAUCUGACUUUUAAUCAGGUGGUCGCUGGUUCGAACCCAGCACGCCCCACCA